UUGGAACACCGAUAACCACCGCCAACAAUCGCCCCGCCCCAAAUCUAGGUCCGGCGACAUCAACAAUUAGGUCAUCGCUCUCCACCACUCUACUGCGAACAUAAGCAUCCACCGUCGGACCACCGUUGUGGCGGAAAGAGCCAACAUAUUUAAGGAUGAGAUCGGCUUGGGAAAUCAUGCGACAGAGAGGCGGUGUGUCUGUGGUGUAGACGAAGAAGUAAGGAGACGACUGGGGGGAUUCUUGAGGCUGAAGAAGACGACUGCAGGAGGCACUCCUGCAGCGUGUUUAGGGUUUUUUUUGGGAGCCCUAACAGCUAUGGCGGCGGCAGUUCCAAAAGCCGAAUAAAAGGGGUCAGAUGUGAAUUCCGGCUGCAAGCGAACUAGGGUUCCUGUGAUUCGGUGAAGGCUACAUGUAACCAACCCUUGCCCUGUCUAAAGCCUCCACUGACAUACGAGGAAAAACUUGAAUCUGAAUUUGGAGAUUUACAGAAUCUGUUUGUUGCUCGGUCUUUGAAGCUGACGAAGCUCAAUGUAGGAGCCGAUCCGAAAGUUUGCAAACAUUUUAUUUAUGGAGUUCAAUCAUAUUCUACUGUUUGGUCGCUUUGGAAAGAAAGAAAUAGCAAAAAUUUUAAGGUCAUAAAGAGAUUGAUUGAUAAGAGUGCAAGAGGAGAUCAUCUCCUCUCUGUUCAACUGGAUCAAAUUCAAAUCCAAGCAAGAGAAUUGGAGCUGGAACAACUGGGUUUUUGACCCUCUUUGUUUGUAGCUAUAUUGUCCUCUUUUUUUCUCCUGUAUCCAGUCAUUCGCAAGAAGGCAUGUUUGCCCUUUUUUCUAUACUUACUAUUCUAAAAAAAAUUGUACUCAUGAUUUGUACAUGUUUGAUGUUGAAAAAUCAAUUUGGUCUAAAACCCCGCCGCACCGCGGCGGGUUA
rnacentral:lncRNA from 1 species